rnacentral:lncRNA from 1 species
UACUAGUUGUUUGCACCUGAAUAUAUUACAAACACUGCCAAACUGGCAAGUCCCAAACUGAGCUCUACAAUUCCCACUUUCUGCUUCAUCAGCUACUCAACCUGUAAUUUAAAAAAAUCUCAAUUAGUUACCACCUUUUGACUUUGUUAUUUAAAGACAAAUACUAAUUCUAUCCUUUAUUCUCUGUUGCAGAUAUAAUAUAAAUAUUUCAGUGAAUCCCUGUAAUCAUUUUUAGGAAUUGAGUUCAGCUACUUCAGAAGUUUUUCAACAGCAAAUUGUGGACAAUUGAAGCUACAAGGCAUCAUAUAUGUCUGAAUUGUCUCUGAUGAUGGAGAAGGACAUCAUAAGAAAUACCAAAGAAACAUCUUUAAAAAGCCACAGAAUAUGCAAAGAAAGCAAUUAUAUGCCAGAUUCUUCUUCUCUUAUGGAGCAAAAACAUAUCCAUGGACCAUGUCCAGUUCGACG